GGGUAAUUUCUAAUUCUAUUGUAUCUCCUUAUCUUGAUUCCCAGCACUAAUGCCAUCAAGGGAGAAAACUGUGGUUUUGAUCAGAGUUAUUUCCCUUUAUUAAAAUCCAAGAAUAAUAUUGAUGAACACUGAUGGAUCAUUUGCGCUUUCUGUAUGAAGUUAGAAUCAAGUAUUGAAGAUUUGUAUGUACAUUUAGGUAACCAUGUUUUGCAAGUUCAAGUUGAUAACAUAAUGUAAAAUAUGUUUUCUUGCAUGGAGAAAAUUGAAAUUUGUAUUUCCAGUGACAAUGUGUAGUUGAUGCCUUACUUUUUCUUAAUCAUUAUUGGCAUGGAGAAAACAACACUCUUUAAACAUGUGCAUAUUACAAUACAAAACCAUUUGUGAUUCGAACUAGCAGAUGGGGUGUAAACAUUGUAAUAAACAUUAUGUUUCUAUCAAUAAACUGGUCUGAUUA
rnacentral:misc_RNA from 1 species